rnacentral:rRNA from 1 species
GAUGAACGCUGGCGGCGUGCCUAAUACAUGCCAGUCGAGCGAACAGACGAGGAGCUUGCUCCUCUGACGUUAGCGGCGGACGGGUGAGUAACACGUGGAUAACCUACCUAUAAGACUGGGAUAACUUCGGGAAACCGGGGCUAAUACCGGAUAAUAUAUUGAACCGCAUGGUUCAAUAGUGAAAGACGGUUUUGCUGUCACUUAUAGAUGGAUCCGCGCCGCAUUAGCUAGUUGGUAAGGUAACGGCUUACCAAGGCAACGAUGCGUAGCCGACCUGAGAGGGUGAUCGGCCACACUGGAACUGAGACACGGUCCAGACUCCUACGGGAGGCAGCAGUAGGGAACCUUCCGCAAUGGGCGAAAGCCUGACGGAGCAACGCCGCGUGAGUGAUGAAGGUCUUCGGAUCGUAAAACUCUGUUAUUAGGGAAGAACAAAUGUGUAAGUAACUAUGCACGUCUUGACGGUACCUAAUCAGAAAGCCACGGCUAACUACGUG